GGCCUUGACUAUACUAAGAACUUUCCAGAGAUGGAUUGGUGCCUUCGGGAACUUAGAUACAGGUGCUGCAUGGCUGUCGUCAGCUCGUGUCGUGAGAUGUUGGGUUAAGUCCCGCAACGAGCGCAACCCUUUUCCUAUUUGCCAGCGGGUCAUGCCGGGAACUUUAAGGAUACUAGCCAGUGACAAACUGGAGGAAGGCGGGGACGACGUCAAGUCAUCAUGGCCCUUACGGCCAGGGCUACACACGUGCUACAAUGGUCGGUACAAAGGGUUGCUACCUCGCGAGAGGAUGCUAAUCUCAAAAAGCCGAUCGUAGUCCGGAUCGCAGUCUGCAACUCGACUGCGUGAAGUCGGAAUCGCUAGUAAUCGCGGAUCAGAAUGCCGCGGUGAAUACGUUCCCGGGCCUUGUACACACCGCCCGUCACACCAUGGGAGUUUGUUGCACCAGAAGUAGGUAGUCUAACCGCAAGGAGGACGCUUACCACGGUGUGGCCGAUGACUGGGGUGAAGUCGUAACAAGGUAAGCGUAGAUGA
rnacentral:rRNA from 1 species